rnacentral:rRNA from 2 species
UGCUAUACAUGCAAGUCGAACGAGUUCUGAUUAUUGAAAGGUGCUUGCAUCUUGAUUUAAUUUUGAACGAGUGGCGGACGGGUGAGUAACACGUGGGUAACCUGCCCUUAAGUGGGGGAUAACAUUUGGAAACAGAUGCUAAUACCGCAUAAAUCCAAGAACCGCAUGGUUCUUGGCUGAAAGAUGGCGUAAGCUAUCGCUUUUGGAUGGACCCGCGGCGUAUUAGCUAGUUGGUGAGGUAACGGCUCACCAAGGCAAUGAUACGUAGCCGAACUGAGAGGUUGAUCGGCCACAUUGGGACUGAGACACGGCCCAAACUCCUACGGGAGGCAGCAGUAGGGAAUCUUCCACAAUGGACGCAAGUCUGAUGGAGCAACGCCGCGUGAGUGAAGAAGGCUUUCGGGUCGUAAAACUCUGUUGUUGGAGAAGAAUGGUCGGCAGAGUAACUGUUGUCGGCGUGACGGUAUCCAACCAGAAAGCCACGGCUAACUACGUGCCAGCGCCCC